CGCACCUUGCGCUCCUUGGUAUUCCGAGGAGCAUGCCUGUUUGAGUGUCAUUAAAUUCUCAACCUUACUAGUAAUAGUAAGGCUUGGAUUAUGGGAGUUGCUGGGUCAAUUCGAAUCAGCUCUUCUUAAAUGUAUUAGCAAUGACUUUGCUGACCAUCUUUGGUAUGAUAAUUAUCUAUAUCAUUGAUGAACAGUUUCGUGGUCUUGCUUCAAAUCGUCCUUACGGACAACUUGACAACUUUGACCUCAAAUCAGGUAGGACUACCCGCUGAACUUAA
rnacentral:misc_RNA from 1 species